GCUCCCGCGGGCGGGGGAGGGGCGGGAGUGCUGCGGAAGCUGGACCGCUGCCCCGCCCGGCGUGACGGCCUGUGGGCUCCAGGCCGUGCGGGGCCAAGAUCCCGGACCCUCGGAGACGUCGGGCAUGGGAAAACCGAGGUCCAAAGAAGGAAGGGUCCGGCCGGGGCACCGCAGCGGGUCACGGCAGGCACCUUCUGAAGACAGGCUGGUCACUGGCCCGCCACAGAGGCUCUCCAGCUGCUGCCACUCCUCUCCAUCCUGCUGCAAGCUCCAAGCAUCAGGCCCCAUCACCUGGUACCCAGACCAAGGUCGUACAUAAUUGGCCUCCCUUCUCUGACCUCCACGCCUGGACCAUCCCACACAUGGACAUAAUUAGGUCACACACAAACACCCCCGACCCUGCAAAGCCCUCUGUGUCUCCACAUCACCCAGAUUAAAGUUCACAAGAGGCCCUUCAGGAGUCACUGUUGAUGCUGGGAUGUGGUUUUUAGGGUGGUCUAAGAAGAUGUCUGGGUUGUUCAGAGAGGAAUACUAGCAAAACAGUUCAGCAAAGGAGAGCGAGGCAGGUGGGAUAGCUUAUGCGUGCUCGGCCAAUUCUUGGUAAUUGUUGAAUCUGUGUGAUGGGUACGUGGGAUACAUUGUCCUUUUCUCUCUACUUUGUAUGUUUGAACUAUUUUAUAUUUAAAAAAAUGAUUACUCUUUAAAGCAAAUAAAAAACCCAUUUGGGGAGAAAAUCA